GGUUCUUCUUGGUUUCACCUGAUACCAUGAGGAAGUCGUCUUCAAAGAUAUAAUCAGGAAUUGGCAUGUCAGACGAAUAAACAUUGAAGAGAAGGGGGCCCAGAACACUGCCCUGGGGUAUUCCUGCAGUGAUUUUGCCAAUUCUGGAAUAUGUGUCAUCUGUGCCCCUGACUGUGAACGAUCUAUCCUGCAGAUAGCUUUCAAGAAUCUUGAACAAGCAGUACGGCAGGAGUUUGGCCAGUUUAUUCAAUAAUCCUAAGUGCCACACUUUAUCAAAUGCUUCAGUAAUGUCUACAAAUACAGCAGAGCUGGAUUCUUUUUGUUCGAGUGAUUUUUGUAGUAACUGUGUGACCCUUGCGAGUUGGUGUUCAGUGCUGUGGUUUUUACGAAAGCCAAAUUGAUGGUUUGGAAUUGCUUUGCGAAAAGUUGAAUACAAAUUAUAUUGUUCACACCAAAGAUUAAAAAGGGCAACGUUACAAGGUCAAGGACAAUAUCCAAACUAUUCACACGAAAUACGUUUUGGAUGGCAAAGCAACGAUUGCUUUCAAGAAGCCCUCACUGAAUCUGUUGAUUAAAUGUGAUCCCAUUCAGCUGAAGGGAUUCCUGCAGACGCUUAAACUGGGUAUGGAAGGCAAGGAUGUCAUCAAUUUGAGACUAAAUACAGUCACUGCCAUGGCACAAAAAUCAAAGUUACAGACGAAAAUGGCUAUAAAUCGUCACAGUGACUAUCCCAUCAAGGUCUUUCCUCGAUAUCUACAAUCCCUAACAAUAGACAAUACGCAAUUGGUUAAAUUGAGCUAUCAUAUAUGCUCCUUACGGAAUCUAACCCACCUGGAUGUAUCCAACAAUAAGUUGCGUAAGUUACCUGUUGAUCUGGGGAGAUUACACUUGAGCAAGCUCGUCCUCCAUGACAAUAAUCUGGGUGAAAUGGACGAUUGGUCAUUUCUAAAUGGCAAAUGGUUAAUUUGAAUCUCAAUUACAAUAAUUUGACUCAUCUACCCUUUGCCAUACGUCGCCUGAGAAGAUUACGCUCGCUUUACGUGUCGGAAAACAAAUUAAAAUCCCUGCCAGCUGCCAUAGAUGAUUUACGUAUUGAAAUCUUGCAUGUUUGGCGUAAUUCAUUCAAGGGUCUCAAUGUCUUGGAGGCUCAUCGCCUGGCCUUUGCUUCCGAUGCGGACGGAGCUUCAACUCAUUCGCCUGAACCUCUCUGGCUUCAAGCUGUGGCCUAAUAUGAACUGCCAAUCGAUUCCCUGCCAGCCUUACUCAUUAAACUAAUUGCCGAGGCACCAAAAUGUACCUGUGGCAAAUUGUGCGAUGCUUUAGACAAGAAGCACAUUAUCGAACGUGUUGGUCAACCGAAAUUUGUAAAUAUUAGAAAUCUUACCUAUAGUCGAGAGCACAUGAUCUUUUCUGAUGUUGUCAUAUGUGGCAACAAUUGUAGUAUAAGCAACCAAUGUAAGAACCUAUUCUCAGGUCUAAUUAACAGAUAUUAGCCUAUUAUGCCAAUGUGCCAAACAAAAAGUGGAAUUAAUAAUUAAAUAUUAUGAAUAACUCAAAAAUGCUUCUAAUCUUAGAGUCUCCUGUUUACAUUAACUUGGGAUUUUGACCAGAUGACUACCUAUUGGAUAAAUGGAACUCAAGAACUUGAAAUCAAUUGGAAUUGAAGAACAUCGCUCAUCUUUAUUUGGAUCAACACGCAAUUAAUCUCAACUGAAAGGGCUUAAGGACUACAGGGCAACCUUCAUCUUAAAUAAAUAGAAACGAAGAUUUAUUGUCAUUAUUCUUGAAGGAGGAUUCCAAAAGAUAUGAUUUCCAAGGACAUUGUUUUUCCUGAAUAGUCGAAGUGCUUCAGCCAUUAUUUGAUUAUGUUAAUGCGAUUAACUACUCUUGCUUUUAGUCAAGCAACUUUUAUUCUUAUGUCAAACAAAAUUUUAAUUUUCCUCCAUUCAAUCUAAGAAAUCGAUUUAUUAUCGAUAGGCGGAGACGUUGAUGUGGCAACCUUCCUAUUUUUUUUCCGCGUUAAUUGGUUUGAUUUUAUAUUUUUUUAUUUUUUAAGUUUAUACCACAAGUUUAAAAUGAAAAUCCUCUGUGAGGUGCAAGUGGUGAAUCGUGUGACCCAAGCGAAUCGUACGCCGCGGGCAGUUAAAUCCACUUUGGCCAUAGGCUACAAACAGAGCGCCCUGGAUUCAAAUGGGAAUACAAAAAAGGAACUGGAAAUGAUAUUUUUUUCAGAUACCCGUGGAGUUGGGACGUCUGCCCCUGACGAAACUCGUACUUCUUGGGAAUUGUCUGGGAGAACUGAACGAUUGGUCAUUUCUAAAUGGCAUCAAAUUGAGUGAAUCUCUUUGUGAAUUGGAUUUAUCUGCCUUUGCCAUGCGACGACUGAAGAAAUUGCACUCGCUUUAUGUAUCGGACAAUAAAUUGGAAUCUCUGCCAGCUGCCCUAGAAGACCUACACAUUAAUACCCUAGAUGUUUGUGGCAAUGCAUUUAAAGGACCCAAUCAUCUGGAUGUUCAACGUCUCGAGGGCACCACUGAGGCAAACACAAGGACCCAAU